UACGAAGGGUGCAAGCGUUACUCGGAAUUACUGGGCGUAAAGGGUGCGUAGGUGGUCGUUUAAGUCCGUUGUGAAAUCCCACGGCUCAACCGUGGAACUGCUGGGUAUACUGGUUCUCUUGAGCGACCCAGGGGCGAGCGGAACAAACGGUGGAGCGGUGAAAUGCGUAGAUAUCGUUUGGAACGCCAAAGGUGAAAACAGCUCGCUGGGGGUCUGCUGACGCUGAGACACGAAAGCCAGGGGAGCGAACGGG
rnacentral:rRNA from 1 species